rnacentral:rRNA from 1 species
CUACGGGCCGCUCCAGUGGGGAAUAUUGCACAAUGGAGGAAACUCUGAUGCAGCAACGCCGCGUGGAGGAUGACACUUUUCGGAGCGUAAACUCCUUUUAUAUAGGAAGAAGAUGACGGUACUAUAUGAAUAAGCGCCGGCUAACUCCGUGCCAGCAGCCGCGGUAAUACGGAGGGUGCAAGCGUUACUCGGAAUCACUGGGCGUAAAGAGCGUGUAGGCGGAUUAAAAAGUCAGAAGUGAAAUCCUAUAGCUUAACUAUAGAACUGCUUCUGAAACUCUUAAUCUAGAAUAUGGGAGAGGUAGAUGGAAUUUCUGGUGUAGGGGUAAAAUCCGUAGAGAUCAGAAGGAAUACCGAUUGCGAAGGCGAUCUACUAGAACAUUAUUGACGCUGAGACGCGAAAGCGUGGGGAGCAAACAGGAUUAGAUACCCUAGUAGUC